GACCUCAAAUCAGGUAGGACUACCCGCUGAACUUAGGCAUAUCAAUAAGCGGAGGAAAAGAAACUAACAAGGAUUCCCCUAGUAACUGCGAGUGAAGAGGGAAAAGCUCAAAUUUAAAAUCUGUCAGUCUUUGGCUGACCGAGUUGUAAAUUAGAGAAGUGCUAUCUGCGCUGGCCUGUGCAAAAGUCUCUUGGAAAAGAGCAUCAUAGAGGGUGACAAUCCCGUCUUUGGUACAGAGCUCCAGGGCUUCAUGAUGUGCUCUCAAUGAGUCGAGUUGUUUGGGAAUGCAGCUCUAAAUGGGUGGUAAAUUCCAUCUAAAGCUAAAUAUUGGCGAGAAACCGAUAGCGCACAAGUACCGUGAGGGAAAGAUGAAAAGAACUUUGAAAAGAGAGUUAAACAGUACGUGAAAUUGUUGAAAGGGAAACGC
rnacentral:rRNA from 1 species